GAAGGCAGAAGACAUUCAGAAACCGUAUCUCACUCAAAACAGCAUGGAUGUUUUUUUUUCCAAGUUUGUAUGCGUGUGGAAGCACCAGAGACACAAAAUAACACCCCAAAUCCCAGAAAAAGGGAUUUUUCCAUAAUAUGGACACUUUGAAACUAAAGCAAACAUACCAAAUGUAGGCAUAUUAUUAAUAUAACUAUGCUAACUGUAUGCAUUUUAGGAUACUACCACGCUAAAAAUUACACGCUAAACAUUAGUUUGGUUAUUGUACGCACGUCGAUGUACUCACAUUAGCGUGUCAGCACCGUAACGGUCUGUCGGCCGUAGCUGUAAUUCAAGAGAAAAGCUAACAUGAUGUGCUAACAUCAGCGUGUAGCUAAACAAGCUAACAUGCCAAAUUUACAUUCAAUGUAACUUUGUAAAAUUGUAGUGUGUUUGGCUGCAAAGAAAGUAAAAUUUGCAACCAUAAGGAUGUUUAUUCAAUCUACUUUUUAAAGCAAGUGCCCUUUAUGUAGUAUAUUAAAGUACAGUAGACCAGAUCUCAUUAUUUGCAAUUAUUUUAGGACACAACUCCUAUUGGCCAGUUUAAACUAACUACUAUCACACCUGCAGUAGGCGGUCACUUGUAGCCUACCCUAGUGCAGGCAGCGAACAUCGCAAACCAAGCAAACACGACAGAACCGUCAAUGUUCUUUGUGUAAUUUGCGCACUUUCCCGAAUGGACAACGCACGAGCAUUGGCUCGUUUAGUUGUUUUUGGCUUUAUGGACACGAGGAACCAUUGGCUCAUGUCCUAUUGUCUUCUCGCAUGUUUAAAGCCUCAAGUUUGGGGCUUGUUUGCCGUGGUGUUUUUGACUACGUCCUCGUAACCGCACCGCUGUUCUCUCGGAAGAGAACCGUCCCAGUUCGGGUUUGCUUUGAAACGGAAAGAGUUAAUCCUCGGAAUAUUGGAUUUAUACCGCAAAUGCAUAAUUGAUGUCCUUUUUGGAUGUUAAGACGUGACCCGCGCCACUUCUCUGCCAAUGUAAAUUCAACCUUAGUGCCAGAUUAUCCUGCCACUGCUAAAUAAUCACUAUCCUUUUUUUUCUGGUGUCUGUACUGUAGCUUGUGCAUGCAUGCAACACACACACACACACACACACACACACACACACACCUAAAUCUGAUGCUGAAAAUAUUUCUGUUUGUGCACAACACACAUUCAUAUUUCAGAUCUUGUAGAAGUUUUUGCCGGUCAAACCAUCAGCUCUAUCUUAGCUGUGUCUCUACACACUACACACACAAUUUAUUGUCAAUUGAAAAUUUACAAUCUAUACAUUCCAUAAAUGACAGUUCACAAAAUAAAUCCAACUUUACACAAUUUA